ACAAAAACAAUAUAACCUCAAAAUGAAAUAAAUUCUCCCGGAAAAACAAAUAAAAUGAUUAUUACAAGAAAUAUUAAUGUUUUUUAUUCUAAGUACAUAAAGUUAAGCACAAGGUGGACAAGCAUAGGAUAUAGUCGAACAAAAAGCUCCGCGGAACCUAAGACAAAAACUUAUUCACAUACUAUUUUGUUUCCCAAAACCAAAUUUCCGGCGAGAUCUAGUCAAAAGGAUAAAAAUAAUAUUCCAGAGAUAGCAAAAUUUUCGGAAUUAUAUAAAUGGCAAAGAGAACAACUUACGGGUCCGGAGUAUGUUUUACAUGAUGGGCCUCCAUACGCCAACGGUGACCUACAUAUGGGACAUGCUGUAAAUAAGAUAAUAAAAGACAUCAACAACAGAAGUCAAGUUCUCCAAGGCAACAAGGUGCACUACAUUCCAGGCUGGGACUGCCACGGCUUACCAAUAGAGUUCAAAGCGUUACAAAAGGCAAAAACUUCAAACAACAAUGAACCUUCCGACCCUGUACAUACAAGGCAAAUUGCCAGAUCCUUUGCGUUGGAAACAGUUGAAAAGCAAAAGGAGGCAUUCAGGAGUUGGGGAGUUAUGGCAGAUUGGGAUGAACAGUGUUAUUUGACACUGGAUAAGAAAUAUGUGCAAAAUCAGUUGAAACUGUUCUAUAAGAUGUAUAGAGAUGGUCUGAUUUAUAGGGCCUUAAAACCGGUGUAUUGGUCUCCUUCAUCUAGAACAGCAUUAGCCGAAGCUGAAUUGGAAUAUGAUCCUCAAUUUAAAAGUCAAGAGGUAUAUGUCGCUUUUCCGAUGGUAAAUCUACCUGAUGUAGUGAAGGAGUCUAUUGGUAGUAAACAAGUCUCAGCAUUAAUAUGGACGACCACACCAUGGACGCUUCUAGCCAAUAAGGCGAUAGCAUACAGUCCCUCUAUGACAUACUGUGUGGUCACACUCAGUAAUAGAAAUGGCAUGUUCCUAAUUGCUAAGGAUCAAAUAGAAGAACUGGAGAAAGUUCUAGAAACUGAGGUUACUGUGGUGGUUGAGUUUGAUGGCACAAAACUCCAAAACAGUACCUACAAUAGUCCCUUAUCCAAUGAGGUACGUCCAUUCUACUCCGCGGAUCACGUGACAAAGGGCAAAGGCACGGGAUUGGUGCACACCGCGCCUGCGCACGGCCCGGAGGACUUUCUAGUUGCGCUGAAGAAUAAUAUGACUGUGGAAUGUAACGUCGACGAAACAGGUUGUUACACGAAUCUAGGCCCAGAUUUCGACGGUCUGCCCGUACUAACAGAGGGUCAGGAGGUUGUGAUGGACAAACUUGCAAAUGCCAUCAUACAUAAAGGGACAUACAUACAUUCGUAUCCAUUGGACUGGAGGACGAAAAAACCAGUGAUAUUGAGAGCUAGCCAUCAGUGGUUUAUCGAUACUGCUGCUUUGAAGGAGCGCGCUUUGGCAGCUCUAGAUAAAGUGGAUUUCCUACCACCAUCCUCCGCGGACCAAUCACGACAGAGUUUUAAAGCGCAAUUGGAAAAGCGGCCAUAUUGGUGCAUUUCGCGCCAAAGAGCCUGGGGUGUGCCCAUACCUGUAUUGUAUAAGGGAAACGAUGUUAUAGUUGACGAGAAAGUAAUAGAAAAAUUAUGCACUUUAAUAGAAUCGAAAGAUGCAGAUAUAUGGUGGACGUGUGAUGUUAAAGAUGUCGUACCGAAUGAGGUUUUAGAUAAAUAUAAUACAGAUGGACAAGAUGUUGUUAAGGGGAAGGAUAUAAUGGAUAUCUGGAUAGAUUCAGGUCUUUCCUGGCAAACGCUAGAUGGCAAGAAAUCCAGAAUAUAUUCGGAAGGUAUAGACCAAUUGACUGGUUGGUUUCAAGCGUCCUUAUUGACGUCUAUAGCUUUGAGUUGUGAAGCUCCUUAUGAGUCAAUAUUCGUGCACGGGUUUGUAGUAGACGAGAAGAAACGCAAAAUGUCCAAAUCAAUAGGCAAUGUGAUAGAUCCUGUUACAAUCAUACAUGGGGAUAAAAAUUGUCCGGCGUAUGGGAUUGAUACUUUGAGAUGGUGGGUAGCAUGUCACGCGACGCAACAUUCCCAAAUCAUAAUCAGUAAGAAACUUCUAGACGACUGUCAAUCAGAAAUCAUUCGCAUACGAAACAUCAUGAAAUAUCUUCUAGGCGUCGUAAAUGACCUAAAAACCGAAGACUUUAGUAAAAACCCACCCUUAAAUUUCUUCGACCAGUACAUAGUUAACGAAUGUCACACAUUUUUGAAACAAAUAAACGAACAUUAUAACAAUUUUAGGUAUAAUAGUGGAGCGCAAUCGAUUCUUCAUUUUGUUAGUAAUAAAGUGUCUGCUUUGUAUUGCCAUUGUAUAAAAGAUAGAUUGUAUUGUUCAGAAAAAGAUUCCGCAGAACGUCUUGCCGCGCAAUUAGCAAUUCAUACGAUUAUGGCAACCCUGUGUAAAACUCUGGGUCCUAUUUUACCCCAUUUGGUUGAAGAAGCAUGGCAACACCAUCCAUUGUCCAACCAACCGUUUUAUUUCACAAAGGAACUGUCACUUUUGCCGCCAAAACCGAUUGACGUUUCAUUAAUGGACGCCAUCUUGAAUUUGAAAAGGGACGUUUGCAUUCGUAUGAAAAACGAAAGUUUGAAGAAGUUUGAUUUGAUUGUGCAAGUGAAUUCCGAUUUGUAUGCGAAAUUAAAUAAUUUAAAUAUGUCGGAUGGUGUAAAUGAUAGUGUUUUGUUUGAAAUAUUAGAAGUAUCUAAUGUGGAGUUGCAUGAAACGGAGAAAAAUGUGAAAAAUUGGAAUAUCAUGGCCACUGUUAGUAAGAAAGGACAAUGUUUGAGAUGUAGGAAGUUUAAUGUGAUUGGUGAUAGUGAUAAGUGUGUGCGGUGCGAGAAAGUGUUAGCGACGUUGUAGAUUUUAAUUUAUUAAAUAUGUAUUAGAAAUUUAUUAUUAUAAUUAGUAUAACUAAUAAUAUGUUAUAAAUUUUAAUUAGAAAAAAAAAAUCAUCACGAGGCGGGAUUCGACGACAUUAGGCAGAAGACACGGGUUCGAAUCCCGCAUCGUGUAUUCACGAUGUGAUUUUCUAUUCUUUAAAAAAUCAUAUUUAUAAAGCAUUUGAAUACUAUAAAACUUAAAUAUCAAAUUAGGAUAUAGAUGUUAUUUAUGCUGGUUAUAAAUACUAAAUCAAACCUCUCUAUCGCUGUUUAUGUAGAAAAGUUUAUGUAUUAAAUUGAUAUUUUCAUUGUGUGAAGAUGCAUGUUUAGCAAAAUGCGUAAUCAUAGUUCAGGAUAAGUAAUGUGAUCUUAUUUCGACAACUGUAAGUUAUUUAAAUGUAAAUAAUCUUCGAUAUAUAAUAAAGAUGAUAAUGCAUUUAAAUAAAAUCCGUUGCGAUGUUUUAAAUCGACAGAGAAAGCGACUUGGUUCGAAACUAUGUACUUAGUGAUAUUACAUGUCUUACUUCCCAGUCUGCUAAUCUCGCUUGCUAAAUGUUUGAAAUAUACAAUAAUUGAUA